AGUGAACGCUGGCGGUAGGCCUAACACAUGCCAGUCGAACGGCAGCACAGUAAGAGCUUGCUCUUACGGGUGGCGAGUGGCGGACGGGUGAGGGAUACAUCGGAAUCUACUUUUUCGUGGGGGAUAACGUAGGGAAACUUACGCUAAUACCGCAUACGACCUACGGGUGAAAGCAGGGGAUCUUCGGACCUUGCGCGAUUGAAUGAGCCGAUGUCGGAUUAGCUAGUUGGCGGGGUAAAGGCCCACCAAGGCGACGAUCCGUAGCUGGUCUGAGAGGAUGAUCAGCCACACUGGAACUGAGACACGGUCCAGACUCCUACGGGAGGCAGCAGUGGGGAAUAUUGGACAAUGGGCGCAAGCCUGAUCCAGCCAUACCGCGUGGGUGAAGAAGGCCUUCGGGUUGUAAAGCCCUUUUGUUGGGAAAGAAAGGCAGCAGGUUAAUACCCCGCUGUUCUGACGGUACCCAAAGAAUAAGCACCGGCUAACUUCGUG
rnacentral:rRNA from 1 species